GACGAGGCACUACGGUGCUGAAGCAACAAAUGCCCUGCUUCCAGGAAAAGCCUCUAAGCAUCAGGUAACAUCAAAUCGUACCCCAAACCGACACAGGUGGUCAGGUAGAGAAUACCAAGGCGCUUGAGAGAACUCGGGUGAAGGAACUAGGCAAAAUGGUGCCGUAACUUCGGGAGAAGGCACGCUGACACGUAGGUGAAGUGAUUUACUCAUGGAGCUGAAGUCAGUCGAAGAUACCAGCUGGCUGCAACUGUUUAUUAAAAACACAGCACUGUGCAAACACGAAAGUGGACGUAUACGGUGUGACGCCUGCCCGGUGCCGGAAGGUUAAUUGAUGGGGUCAGCGCAAGCGAAGCUCCUGAUCGAAGCCCCGGUAAACGGCGGCCGUAACUAUAACGGUCCUAAGGUAGCGAAAUUCCUUGUCGGGUAAGUUCCGACCUGCACGAAUGGCGUAAUGAUGGCCAGGCUGUCUCCACCCGAGACUCAGUGAAAUUGAACUCGCUGUGAAGAUGCAGUGUACCCGCGGCAAGACGGAAAGACCCCGUGAACCUUUACUAUAGCUUGACACUGAACAUUGAGCCUUGAUGUGUAGGAUAGGUGGGAGGCUUUGAAGUGUGGACGCCAGUCUGCAUGGAGCCGACCUUGAAAUACCACCCUUUAAUGUUUGAUGUUCUAACGUGGACCCGUUACCCGGGUUGCGGACAGUGUCUGGUGGGUAGUUUGACUGGGGCGGUCUCCUCCUAAAGAGUAACGGAGGAGCACGAAGGUUGGCUAAUCCUGGUCGGACAUCAGGAGGUUAGUGCAAUGGCAUAAGCCAGCUUGACUGCGAGCGUGACGGCGCGAGCAGGUGCGAAAGCAGGUCAUAGUGAUCCGGUGGUUCUGAAUGGAAGGGCCAUCGCUCAACGGAUAAAAGGUACUCCGGGGAUAACAGGCUGAUACCGCCCAAGAGUUCAUAUCGACGGCGGUGUUUGGCACCUCGAUGUCGGCUCAUCACAUCCUGGGGCUGAAGUAGGUCCCAAGGGUAUGGCUGUUCGCCAUUUAAAGUGGUACGCGAGCUGGGUUUAGAACGUCGUGAGACAGUUCGGUCCCUAUCUGCCGUGGGCGCUGGAGAACUGAGGGGGGCUGCUCCUAGUACGAGAGGACCGGAGUGGACGCAUCACUGGUGUUCGGGUUGUCAUGCCAAUGGCACUGCCCGGUAGCUAAAUGCGGAAGAGAUAAGUGCUGAAAGCAUCUAAGCACGAAACUUGCCCCGAGAUGAGUUCUCCCUGAGACUUUAGGUCUCCUGAAGGAACGUUGAAGACGACGACGUUGAUAGGCCGGGUGUGUAAGCGCAGCGAUGCGUUGAGCUAACCGGUACUAAUGAACCGUGAGGCUUAACCUUACAACGCCGAAGCUGUU
rnacentral:rRNA from 1 species